UUUUUUUUUUUUUUUAAUUUAAAAAAAAUUUUUUUUUUUUUUUCAUUUUGAGAUAGGGUCUCACAAAGUUGCCAAGGGUAGUCUGGAACUCGCUGUGUCAUCCAAAUAGCUCUCAGUGGCAAAUCUUUGUCCCUUACUCCUUUGUUUUCUUUAUGCCAUGUAUCCAUAUGCUGUUAUUUAUAUAUUUAUUGAAAAUUAUAAUUUUUUCUUCCUUACUUGCCAUCUUUAUGACAACAGAGACUUUGUCUUCAUUUCUGUGCUAGAAAAUGCUAGAGCUGCUGCAUAGUAGGUGUUCCGUAAAUGGUCCAUAGAUAAAGGAGUGAGUGUGUCUGUCUGUCUGUCUCUGUUUCUCUUUAGCUCCUCUGGCUUUCAACUUGAUAUAUAGCAGAGAAUGAUUUUUUUUUUUUCAAGACAAGGUCUCACUAUAUAACCCUGACUGGCCUGUAACUCACUAUGUAGACCAAACUGACUUUGAACUUCCUGUCUUUCCUCAGCCUUCUGAGUUGGGAUUAUAAGUGUGUGCCACCAUGCCUGGCUUCUCUAGGAAAUUAUUUCACAAACACUGUACAGUACUUCUGUGGGCAUUUGUUUUCUUAUGGCAUGUAUUAUUAGCCUUAUUAGCACAUGAUGCCAUAUAGGACUUGGCUAUGCUCACCUUCCCAUCAUCAUAGAAUGAAAGUGAGAGGUCUGUAAGUCAAGUUCUUUUUUUGUUCUGCUUGUUUUUGAAGUCAGGGUCUCGCUGUGUGAUCCAGGCUUUCUUGGAACUAGUUUCAGUCUCACCAAUACUACUGUUUUUUCUUAAUUUCUCUCUUACUUUCUAUGCUGAGGGAUAUAAACUUGUUUAUGUCAAAAAAGAAGAAAAGUAGUUCUAGACAGUAUAUUGAUGAUAGCUUUAUUAUUAAAUUAGGGAAUGCAAAUUGAAAUAAAUGGUGCCACAUCUUCCAUGGAGGUAGUGUGUGAGUGUGUGUGUAUGUGUGUGUGAGAGAGAGAGAGAGAGAGAGAGAGACAGACAGACAGACAGACAGACAGAGACAGAGUCAGGGUCUCACAGUAAAGCCCUGGUUUGCCUGGAGCUUCCUAUGCUGACCAGGUUGGCUUACAGUAUACAGAGAUCCACUUGCUUCUGCCUCCCUAUUGCUGGGAUUAAAGGCAUGAGCCACUACACUCAGCUGAUUAAAAGAAGUUUUAAUCUGAUAAUAACUGGUGACUAUGUAGCAGAAAUGAUAAUUUUAGAAAGAACAUAUAGAGUGUAGAUUGGUACAGGUGCCAUUGGAGAUUGUAUUAUAGUUCUUCCUCUUGUAAUUCUUAUUGACGUUGAAAUAUUUGUAAGAGAAUACAGAUAGGAGGUGGUGACAACAGUGACGGUAUGUGUGAAUUCCUCUCCUUUUCCUUCCUUCCUGUUUGUUUUUGUUUUUUUGAGACAGGGUUUCUUUGUGUAGCCCUGGCUGUCCUGGAACUCAUGCCUGCCUCUGCCUCCUGAGUACUGGUAUCAAAGGCCUGUAGCAUCACUGCCCAGCAUUUUCUUUUUCUUUUUUUUUCUUUUCCUAAAGGCUAAAGCAGGACUGAUGAUGUAGCUUGAUGGUAGAGCAGUUGCACUUAGAAGGCAGAGACUGGAUCUUUUUUGAGUUCAAGGCCAGUCUGAUCUUCAUAAUGAGGUCUAGGCUAGACAGAACUAUAAAGUAAGACUCUGUC
rnacentral:lncRNA from 1 species